rnacentral:piRNA from 1 species
UGUGUGUUGCCCAGGUGCACACAGGUGG